UCAACACUGCCCAAGCUUCAUAAACAGUUUAAAUGAAGUUAAAAUCAAAGAAAAACAGGCAUUUCUUCAGGACUGUCCUUAAUUAUGAUUCAAAAUGAACCAGAGGAUAAAGCUUUGUGAAAUUGUAUAAGCUUGUUACUUCCCAUAGAUAUGCCAGUUUACCAGCAUACCAUCAUGGUGUACUACCUUGGCACAUUCAGGAAAGUGAAGACAGGAGACACAAAAAUGCCAUGCUUUUUCAAAAUGUCAGUGCUUGGAAAGACGCCAGAUAUCUGCAAGUGGAUGAUGCAAAGAUAGAACAAGCAAGUGCAUGCUUGAAUUUGACUCUACUUCACCCAUGGCCUGGGAUCUAACAUCGGCUGGAUUUUUGCUUGCUGAAGGUAAAAGCAUGGUGCCUGUGUGGGAUUUGGGUUCAUCGUCCUCAAAUAACUGGAUGAGCUGUUCUUCGGUCUUGAGCUCUUGUACAACAUCAAUCUAUAAAGACAAUGAUAAAAGGCUGACUCUAGCUUUAGAGCCAAACAAUUCUUUUUAUGGGGAUCUUUUAAUGCUCGAUAUGCUCGAUUUUUCAUGAAUUGAAUGAUCUUUAAGCCAGCUUCCCAGUUAGUGGUUUGGUUAUCGGUCAUUCAAGUAGACAACAAUGUCGCAAUUCACCCUCUCCACUGAUCCUAGUGAUUGGUCGUGUCUUGGUUCUCCAUGAACUAUUUUCAUUUCAUUUGACAUACUACAGAGGUCCUCGAUGACACGGUUAGCAAAUUCAUGGUCAUUGUCAAAUUGUAGGAUGUUGUGAAGACAUCUAACAAGUGAAACACCACUUCGUCAGCUUGUUUUGUUUUAAGAGCUCUCAAGAUCACAUCAAAUGAUCCUGAUAAACUGGGAUUGCAUAUAAAUAAAGUCCACUUGAGCGCGCAAGUUAAGGUAGUUACUUAAAAUUGGCUUAGAAAACAGACCUUUUUUAAGAGCUUUUUCUUUGUUGGCAUGGCUUGCAAAAAUUUUAAUAAAUCAUAAUCACUUCUUUAGUGAUGUUACAGUAUUUGUUUUUAAUCUCCUGUACCAUUUGAUUUCUUCCACCAUGUCCAGUUGAAACAUGAGUACUAUGCAUGACAUCAAAAAUCUUGUCAGUGGUAACAUAAUACUGUAUGUUUGAGUUGUCAGUGCCCAAGAGCAGUGGCCAAUGACA